CUGCUGCCUCCCGUAGGAGUUUGGACCGUGUCUCAGUUCCAAUGUGGGGGACCUUCCUCUCAGAACCCCUAUCCAUCGAUGCCUUGGUGGGCCGUUACCCCGCCAACAAGCUAGUGGAACGCAUCCCCAUCGAUGACCGAAAUUCUUUAAUAGUUCUACCAUGCGGAAGAACUAUGCCAUCGGGUAUUAAUCUUUCUUUCGAAAGGCUAUCCCCGAGUCAUCGGCAGGUUGGAUACGUGUUACUCACCCGUGCGCCGGUCGCCA
rnacentral:rRNA from 1 species